rnacentral:lncRNA from 1 species
CAUCUUACCUCGAUAAGCAGAAGAAUAAGGGUCGAUUUUACCUUUUUCAUUUAAAACAAACCUUCGCUCAUCGGGGGCAUAGUGUAGUCGAAUCUUCGUUGUUGAGUUAACGUUUGUCAAAUGGAACUCAAACUUCAUGUACAACCACAUAAACUGUUUAAGGCACGAAUAUAAAUUGAAAACAAAUUUGGAAAAUUUCGUUACCUUAUUCUCCAAAACAGAUUUGGAAAAAUU